rnacentral:rRNA from 1 species
UGAUCCUACGGGGGGCAGCAGUCGGGAAUAUUGCGCAAUGGAGGAAACUCUGACGCAGUGACGCCGCGUAUAGGAAGAAGGUUUUCGGAUUGUAAACUAUUGUCGUUAGGGAAGAUAAAAGACUGUACCUAAGGAGGAAGCCCCGGCUAACUAUGUGCCAGCAGCCGCGGUAAUACAUAGGGGGCAAGCGUUAUCCGGAAUUAUUGGGUGUAAAGGGUGCGUAGACGGAGAAACAAGUUGGUUGUGAAAUCCCUCCGCUCAACUGAGGAACUGCAACCAAAACUAUUUCCCUUGAGUGUCGUAGG